CAAAUUAUUUGGUUGGAGAGAUGCCACAAUCAUAAAGGUGGUUUUCCCAAGGUGAGGCUUAUCCAUUGCACUCCAGUCUGCCACCCCUUGUUAUUUUCCCCAAAUACAGGAAACAUGACUGCAUAAUUUUGGACAAAU